GAUGGACGCUGGCGGCGUGCCUAAUACAUGCAAGUCGAGCGAACAGAUGAGGAGCUUGCUCCUCUGACGUUAGCGGCGGACGGGUGAGUAACACGUGGAUAACCUACCUAUAAGACUGGGAUAACUUCGGGAAACCGGAGCUAAUACCGGAUAAUAUAUUGAACCGCAUGGUUCAAUAGUGAAAGACGGUUUUGCUGUCACUUAUAGAUGGAUCCGCGCCGCAUUAGCUAGUUGGUAAGGUAACGGCUUACCAAGGCGACGAUGCGUAGCCGACCUGAGAGGGUGAUCGGCCACACUGGAACUGAGACACGGUCCAGACUCCUACGGGAGGCAGCAGUAGGGAAUCUUCCGCAAUGGGCGAAAGCCUGACGGAGCAACGCCGCGUGAGUGAUGAAGGUCUUCGGAUCGUAAAACCCUGUUAUUAGGGAAGAACAAAUGUGUAAGUAACUAUGCACGUCUUGACGGUACCUAAUCAGAAAGCCACGGCUAACUACGUG
rnacentral:rRNA from 1 species